AACGCACAUUGCGCCUCCUUUAACCAGGGGGCAUGCCUGUCUGAGCGUCAUUUAAAUCUAUGGACCUGACUGGGUUCCGUAUUGGGCUUCGCCUCUCUGAGCGGCGUCGCCUCGAAAGCAUCGGCCUCGUGGAGCGGACGCGAUCCUUAUGGACUGACCGUUUCAUAGCCGGAGUUUGACUCUGAUUUGACCUCAGAUCAGGUAGGGAUACCGCCUGAACUUAA
rnacentral:misc_RNA from 1 species